rnacentral:rRNA from 1 species
GUACGGCGAGUGAGCGGCAACAGCUCAAAUUUGAAAUCUGGCCGUUUACGGUCCGAGUUGUAAUUUGUAGAGGAUGUUUUGGGUACCGCCCCGGUUUAAAUUUCUUGGAACAGAAUGUCAAAGAGGGUGAGAGUCCCGUCUUGGACCGCGGUAGGGCCUGUGUAAAACUCCUUCGACGAGUCGACUUGUUUGGGAAUGCAGGUCAAAAUGGGUGGUAAAUUUCAUCUAAAGCUAAAUAUUGGCCAGAGACCGAUAGCGCACAAGUAGAGUGAUCGAAAGAUGAAAAGCACUUUGAAAAGAGAGUUAAACAGUAUGUGAAAUUGUUGAAAGGGAAGCGCUGGCAACCAGACUCGUGCGCGGGGUUCCCCCUUGCUUCUGCUUGGGUCACUUCCCCGUGUCCGGGCCAUCAUCAGUUUCGGGGGCCGGUUAAAGGCCUUGGGAAUGUAUCCACGCCUUCGGGGGUGGACUUAUAGCCCAGGGUGUCAUGCGGCCACCCGGGACUGAGGAACGCGCUUCGGCGAGGAUGAUGGCGUAAUGGUUGUCAGCGGCCCGUCUUGAAACACGGACCCC